GAGUUUGAUCCUGGCUCAGAUUGAACGCUGGCGGCAUGCUUUACACAUGCAAGUCGAACGGCAGCACAGGGAGCUUGCUCCUGGGUGGCGAGUGGCGAACGGGUGAGUAAUGUAUCGGAACGUGCCUGGUAGUGGGGGAUAACCACUCGAAAGAGUGGCUAAUACCGCAUGAGAUCUCUGGAUGAAAGCGGGGGACCUUUGGGCCUCGCGCUAUCGGAGCGGCCGAUAUCAGAUUAGGUUGUUGGUGGGGUAAAGGCCUACCAAGCCUGCGAUCUGUAGCUGGUCUGAGAGGACGACCAGCCACACUGGGACUGAGACACGGCCCAGACUCCUACGGGAGGCAGCAGUGGGGAAUUUUGGACAAUGGGCGCAAGCCUGAUCCAGCAAUGCCGCGUGCAGGACGAAGGCCCUCGGGUUGUAAACUGCUUUUGUACAGAACGAAAAGUCUCUGGCUAAUAUCUGGGGAACA
rnacentral:rRNA from 1 species